GGUUAAGCGACUAAGCGUACACGGUGGAUGCCCUGGCAGUCAGAGGCGAUGAAGGACGUGCUAAUCUGCGAAAAGCGUCGGUAAGGUGAUAUGAACCGUUAUAACCGGCGAUGUCCGAAUGGGGAAACCCAGUGUGAUUCGUCACACUAUCGUUAACUGAAUACAUAGGUUAACGAGGCGAACCGGGGAACUGAAACAUCUAAGUACCCCGAGGAAAAGAAAUCAACCGAGAUUCCCCCAGUAGCGGCGAGCGAACGGGGAGCAGCCCAGAGUCUGAAUCAGCUUGUGUGUUAGUGGAACGGUCUGGAAAGUCCGACGGUACAGGGUGAUAGUCCCGUACACCAAAAUGCACAGGCUGUGAACUCGAAGAGUAGGGCGGGACACGUGGUAUCCUGUCUGAAUAUGGGGGACCAUCCUCCAAGGCUAAAUACUCCUGACUGACCGAUAGUGAACCAGUACCGUGAGGGAAAGGCGAAAAGAACCCCGGCGAGGGGAGUGAAAAAGAACCUGAAACCGUGUACGUACAAGCAGUGGGAGCACCUUCGGGUGUGACUGCGUACCUUUGUAUAAUGGGUCAGCGACUUAUAUUCUGUAGCAAGGUUAACCGUAUAGGGAGCCGCAGGGAAACCGAGUCUUAACUGGGCGUUAAGUUGCAGGGUAUAGACCCGAAACCCGGUGAUCUAGCCAUGGGCAGGUUGAAGGUUGGGUAACACUAACUGGAGGACCGAACCGACUAAUGUUGAAAAAUUAGCGGAUGACUUGUGGCUGGGGGUGAAAGGCCAAUCAAACCGGGAGAUAGCUGGUUCUCCCGAAAGCUAUUUAGGUAGCGCCUCGUGAACUCAUCUUCGGGGUAGAGCACUGUUUCGGCUAGGGGUCAUCCCGACUUACCAACCCGAUGCAAACUACGAAUACCGAAGAAUGUUAUCACGGGAGACACACGGCGGGUGCUAACGUCCGUCGUGAAGAGGAAACAACCCAGACCGCCAGCUAAGGUCCCAAAGUCAUGGUUAAGUGGGAAACGAUGUGGGAAGGCACAGACAGCCAGGAUGUUGGCUUAGAAGCAGCCAUCAUUUAAAGAAAGCGUAAUAGCUCACUGGUCGAGUCGGCCUGCGCGGAAGAUGUAACGGGGCUAAACCAUGCACCGAAGCUGCGGCAGCGACACUAUGUGUUGUUGGGUAGGGGAGCGUUCUGUAAGCCUGCGAAGGUGACCUGUGAGGGUUGCUGGAGGUAUCAGAAGUGCGAAUGCUGACAUAAGUAACGAUAAAGCGGGUGAAAAGCCCGCUCGCCGGAAGACCAAGGGUUCCUGUCCAACGUUAAUCGGGGCAGGGUGAGUCGACCCCUAAGGCGAGGCCGAAAGGCGUAGUCGAUGGGAAACAGGUUAAUAUUCCUGUACUUGGUGUUACUGCGAAGGGGGACGGAGAAGGCUAUGUUAGCCGGGCGACGGUUGUCCCGGUUUAAGCAUGUAGGCUGGUUAUCCAGGCAAAUCCGGAUAAUCAAGGCUGAGGUGUGAUGACGAGGCACUACGGUGCUGAAGUAACAAAUGCCCUGCUUCCAGGAAAAGCCUCUAAGCAUCAGGUAACAUCAAAUCGUACCCCAAACCGACACAGGUGGUCAGGUAGAGAAUACCAAGGCGCUUGAGAGAACUCGGGUGAAGGAACUAGGCAAAAUGGUGCCGUAACUUCGGGAGAAGGCACGCUGGUGUGUAGGUGAAGCCCCUGCGGGUGGAGCUGAGACCAGUCGAAGAUACCAGCUGGCUGCAACUGUUUAUUAAAAACACAGCACUGUGCAAACACGAAAGUGGACGUAUACGGUGUGACGCCUGCCCGGUGCCGGAAGGUUAAUUGAUGGGGUUAUCCGUAAGGAGAAGCUCUUGAUCGAAGCCCCGGUAAACGGCGGCCGUAACUAUAACGGUCCUAAGGUAGCGAAAUUCCUUGUCGGGUAAGUUCCGACCUGCACGAAUGGCGUAAUGAUGGCCAGGCUGUCUCCACCCGAGACUCAGUGAAAUUGAACUCGCUGUGAAGAUGCAGUGUACCCGCGGCAAGACGGAAAGACCCCGUGAACCUUUACUAUAGCUUGACACUGAACAUUGAGCCUUGAUGUGUAGGAUAGGUGGGAGGCUUUGAAGCGUGGACGCCAGUCUGCGUGGAGCCAACCUUGAAAUACCACCCUUUAAUGUUUGAUGUUCUAACGUUGGCCCCUUACCGGGGUUGCGGACAGUGUCUGGUGGGUAGUUUGACUGGGGCGGUCUCCUCCCAAAGCGUAACGGAGGAGCACGAAGGUUAGCUAAUCCUGGUCGGACAUCAGGAGGUUAGUGCAAUGGCAUAAGCUAGCUUGACUGCGAGCGUGACGGCGCGAGCAGGUGCGAAAGCAGGUCAUAGUGAUCCGGUGGUUCUGAAUGGAAGGGCCAUCGCUCAACGGAUAAAAGGUACUCCGGGGAUAACAGGCUGAUACCGCCCAAGAGUUCAUAUCGACGGCGGUGUUUGGCACCUCGAUGUCGGCUCAUCACAUCCUGGGGCUGAAGUAGGUCCCAAGGGUAUGGCUGUUCGCCAUUUAAAGUGGUACGCGAGCUGGGUUUAGAACGUCGUGAGACAGUUCGGUCCCUAUCUGCCGUGGGCGCUGGAGAAUUGAGGGGGCUGCUCCUAGUACGAGAGGACCGGAGUGGACGCAUCACUGGUGUUCGGGUUGUCAUGCCAAUGGCACUGCCCGGUAGCUAAAUGCGGAAGAGAUAAGUGCUGAAAGCAUCUAAGCACGAAACUUGCCCCGAGAUGAGUUCUCCCUGAGACUUUAAGUCUCCUGAAGGAACGUUGAAGACGACGACGUUGAUAGGCCGGGUGUGUAAGCGCAGCGAUGCGUUGAGCUAACCGGUACUAAUGAACCGUGAGGCUUAACCUU
rnacentral:rRNA from 1 species